rnacentral:rRNA from 1 species
CCUACGGGAGGCAGCAGUGAGGAAUAUUGGUCAAUGGACGAGAGUCUGAACCAGCCAAGUAGCGUGAAGGAUGACUGCCCUAUGGGUUGUAAACUUCUUUUAUAUGGGAAUAAAACAGGGUAAGCAUACCCUCUCGUAUGUACCAUAUGAAUAAGGAUCGGCUAACUCCGUGCCAGCAGCCGCGGUAAUACGGAGGAUCCGUGCGUUAUCCGGAUUUAUUGGGUUUAAAGGGAGCGUAGAUGGGUUGUUAAGUUAGUUGUGAAAGUGUGGGGCUAAAACGUCAAAUUGCAAUUGAUACUGGCAGUCUUGAGUAGAGUUGAGGUAGGCGGAAUGCGUGGUGUAGCGGUGAAAUGCUUAGAUAUCACGAAGAACCCCGAGUGCGAAGGCAGCUUACUAAGCUGUGACUGACAUUGAGGCUCGAAAGUGUGGGUAUCAAACAGGAUUAGAUACCCCUGUAGUC